GUGAGACAGGUGCUGCAUGGCUGUCGUCAGCUCGUGUUGUGAAAUGUUGGGUUAAGUCCCGCAACGAGCGCAACCCUUAUCCUUUGUUGCCAGCGGUCCGGCCGGGAACUCAAAGGAGACUGCCAGUGAUAAACUGGAGGAAGGUGGGGAUGACGUCAAGUCAUCAUGGCCCUUACGACCAGGGCUACACACGUGCUACAAUGGCGCAUACAAAGAGAAGCGACCUCGCGAGAGCAAGCGGACCUCAUAAAGUGCGUCGUAGUCCGGAUUGGAGUCUGCAACUCGACUCCAUGAAGUCGGAAUCGCUAGUAAUCGUGGAUCAGAAUGCCACGGUGAAUACGUUCCCGGGCCUUGUACACACCGCCCGUCACACCAUGGGAGUGGGUUGCAAAAGAAGUAGGUAGCUUAACCUUCGGGAGGGCGCUUACCACUUUGUGAUUCAUGACUGGGGUGAAGUCGUAACAAGGUAACCGUAGGGGAACCUGCGGUUGGAUCA
rnacentral:rRNA from 1 species